ACAGGAGUGGACAGCUCUUGACUUGGAAGUGGUCUGCAGCAUAAAACACUAACUUCAUGGUUGAAAAACUACAUGGACUUGUCAUUUCCAGCAACUUGGUUUUUUCUUUGAAUAAUUAUACUCAUGAACUGAAGCAAGAGAAGUAGAAUAUAGACCAGCACAGAGACAAAACCAGCAGCUGAUUGCACAAUAUGGACACCUGGUUUAUGCUUUCACAGAACACUCAGGAAAUAUUUUGUUAUACUUGCCCCACUCGCUACCAAACAACAGCUCCAACUUGUUGAGAGAAUACCUUGUGCUAUGACUGCAGUGGGCAGAGAAUCAGAUGUGACCAUUACGGAAGACAUUAACUCCUGGGGUUUUUUCUGGAUUUGGACACCUCUCCCACAGAGAGCUUGGAGGAGAUGCAAAAUCCUACAGCACAAAAAGCCCUGAAAAAAUUGCUUCCAUACCACUGCCAGGUGUGUGUCCAGUUGCUAGAAGGACCAGGGGACACAAGGAAGGACAAUUGCCUGACUGUGAUGAGAGGCACCUGGAGCCAAUUGAGCUAAUGCUCUGCAGGUAUUGACCAGAGAAUAGUUCUGCUACUAUUUCCUAAACUAGCUGUAUCUUUAUUAGAUAAAAGGAGAUUAAAUGGACAAGCAAUAAAUGGAUUUUA